GUAACAGGCUCCGCACUGGGUGCUGAACAGCACAAGAGCCCUGGCCCUCAAAGGAAAUGAAGUCUGUCUGGGAAGCAAGGAAGCAACUGGACUGGUACACACAGCCUACAGCAAGAUGAACCUCUUUGUGAAAAGGAACCUUGUGGUAGACACAGAUGAACAAUGCUCUUUCCUUUUGGAAAUUAACCGAUGAGGAGACUGAGGCCCAGGAGGUCAAACACCAUGCUCCCAGUCACAUGACCAUCCGGCCAUAGGCUUCCCUGACAGACUAUUGUGAGAAGGAAUACAGUCCAACACCUCCACAUUUACUGUCAAAGACUCAUGUUAAUAAAAGGAUGGUAGAAGACAAAAGCGCAGACAUUGAG